rnacentral:rRNA from 1 species
AACGAACGCUGGCGGCAUGCCUAACACAUGCAAGUCGAACGAGACCUUCGGGUCUAAUGUCGCACGGGUGCGUAACGCGUGGGAACCUGCCCUUAGGUUCGGAAUAACUCCCCGAAAGGGGUGCUAAUACCGGAUAAUGUCUUCGGACCAAAGAUUUAUCGCCUUUGGAUGGGCCCGCGUUGGAUUAGCUAGUUGGUAGGGUAAAAGCCUACCAAGGCGACGAUCCAUAGCUGGUCUGAGAGGAUGAUCAGCCACACUGGGACUGAGACACGGCCCAGACUCCUACGGGAGGCAGCAGUGGGGGAUAUUGGACAAUGGGCGAAAGCCUGAUCCAGCAAUGCCGCGUGAGUGAUGAAGGCCUUAGGGUUGUAAAGCUCUUUUACCCGGGAUGAUAAUGACAGUACCGGGAGAAUAAGCUCCGGCUAACUCCGUG